AGGGAUCAUUACAGGACUCGCAAGACUCCUACAACCCUGUGAACUUCACUACAAGCACGUUGCUUCGGCGGGUGUCUCGGCGGAGGUCCCUUCCGGGGGACCUGCGCAGGGGCGCGAAGCCCGCCGGCAGCCUACUAUACUCUGUCUCUUUGCGUUGGCAUCUCGAGAAAAAGCAAACAAGUUAAAACUUUCAACAACGGAUCUCUUGGUUCUGGCAUCGAUGAAGAACGCAGCGAAAUGCGAUAAGUAAUGCGAAUUGCAGAAUUCCGUGAGUCAUCGAAUCUUUGAACGCACAUUGCGCCCGCCAGCAUUCUGGCGGGCAUGCCUGUUCGAGCGUCAUUUCAACCCUCAGGCCCUGCCUGGCGUUGGAGGACUGCGCACCGCAGCCUCCCAAAGCGAGCGGCGGCGGCGCCCCGAAACCGAACGCAGUAGUUUUCUCUCGUUCUGGGUCCGGGUCGUUGUCCUGCCGGAAAACCCCCAUCUAUACAAUGGUUGACCUCGAAUCAGGUAGGAAUACCCGCUGAACUUAA
rnacentral:ncRNA from 2 species